AUUGAACGCUGGCGGCAGGCUUAACACAUGCAAGUCGAGCGGAGAGAGGUAGCUUGCUACUGAUCUUAGCGGCGGACGGGUGAGUAAUGCUUAGGAAUCUGCCUAUUAGUGGGGAACAACAUUUCGAAAGGAAUGCUAAUACCGCAUACGUCCUACGGGAGAAAGCAGGGGAUCUUCGGACCUCGCGCUAAUAGAUGAGCCUAAGUCGGAUUAGCUAGUUGGUGGGGUAAAGGCCUACCAAGGCGACGAUCUGUAGCGGGUCUGAGAGGAUGAUCCGCCACACUGGGACUGAGACACGGCCCAGACUCCUACGGGAGGCAGCAGUGGGGAAUAUUGGACAAUGGGCGCAAGCCUGAUCCAGCCAUGCCGCGUGUGUGAAGAAGGCCUUAUGGUUGUAAAGCACUUUAAGCGAGGAGGAGGCUACUUUAGUUAAUACCUAGAGAUAGUGGACGUUACUCGCAGAAUAAGCACCGGCUAACUCUGUGCCAGCAGCCGCCGUAAUAC
rnacentral:rRNA from 1 species